CACUCCUGCGGGAGGCAGCAGUGGGGAAUUUUGGACAAUGGGCGAAAGCCUGAUCCAGCAAUGCCGCGUGAGUGAAGAAGGCCUUCGGGUUGUAAACCUCUUUUGUAAGGGAAGAAACGGUGAGAGCUAAUAUCUCUUGCUAAUGACGGUACCUGAAGAAUAAGCACCGGCUAACUACGUGCCAGCAGCCGCGGUAAUACGUAGGGUGCAAGCGUUAAUCGGAAUUACUGGGCGUAAAGCGUGCGCAGGCGGUUUUGUAAGUCUGAUGUGAAAUCCCCGGGCUCAACCUGGGAAUUGCAUUUGUGACUGCAAGGCUAGAAUCUGGCAGAGGGGGAUAGAAUUCCACGUGUAGCAGUGAAAUGCGUAGAUAUGUGGAGGAACACCGAUGGCGAAGGCAACCCCCUGGGUCAAGAUUGACGCUCAUGCACGAAAGCGUGGGGAGCAAACAGGAUUAGAUACCCUGGUAGUCCCAUG
rnacentral:rRNA from 1 species